rnacentral:ncRNA from 1 species
AUCUACAUACCUUUUACAGGUUCCGGAGCCUUGGCAGCACGGCUGCACUUCGGAUGAAAAGGGAAGACCGGUGUAACUCCGGCGCGGUCCCGCCACUGUAACCGUCUUUUGGGCCUUUCUGAACGGCCCUGUGACCGGAAGCCAGAUACCUGCCUGUUUAAGCUGUAACGA